CCCAUCUCCUUGGGUAUAAAACUCCACUGCAAGGGUGUCACUCUUUUUUCUACCUGUGUGGUUGCUGUCCCCAGAAGUGUCCUGUCCCAAGCCAAUAAACAGGAUACUUGUCCCCACGUGGAGAAGAGCGCUUCUUGUCUCUUACUUUCGUCUAUGCAAGGCCGUGUGGGUUAGAGUCUGAGCUAGCCGGAUUUGGACUCAUGUAAAGCCCAGAAACCAACGGAUUAUUGCAGGUGGCGCCCCACGUGGUCGUCUCCCACAGCGGUCACGGAGCAGCUAGUAAUUCCACGAGUGGAUUACGUUAGCUUUUGGGACUUUCACCUUCCUCUGACUUCUUCGUCACGUUUUUGUCGGCAAGAAGGCUAGAGGGUGGGGUCGGGAACCCGCCGCGCCCACGGCAGACCGAUCCCGUAGGAGGACUUCUUUACAGCUCUCCCAGCCAGCCACAGUCCCCAAGCGGGACAGGACCCUGUGAGUGCGGCUGAGCAAGUUCGUGACUCGAUCACGGUCCAGCCGGCAUCAAGGAAUUCUCGGGGAGCCCAUCAGCUGCGACCGCCUCUGCUGCUCACAACGUCCCCAGGAGAGAGAAAGUAGGAAACUGUUUGCCUUUGAGUGGGAAAACCCAGGGAACGGAAGAAAGACCCAGCUCACCUAGACACGACUUCCACAAGGGACAAGAACUCGCUGACCCUAUUCGGAAACCAACUGGCAAAGGAGCUGGAGAUUUGGACCGAAAAUGGGCAAGUACCAAGAGACCAAUACCUAUUGUUGCAGUAUGUUGAUGAGAUACUAAUAGCUACAGAAGAAAAAGCAACCUGUAUAAAAAUAACCAUAGAGAUUUUAAAUUCACUGGGAAUGGGAGGUUACAAAGUAUCCAGAGGAAAGGCACAAAUUGCCCAACAGACUGUGAUUUACCUGGGAUGUGAAAUUUCACAAGGGCAACGAAAACUAGGUACUAACCGUAUCCAAGCUAUCUGUGCUAUUCCAGAGCCCCAGAACUUAGAUGAGCUGCGAGUCUUCCUCGAGAGGGCAGGAUGGUGUUGCUUGUGGAUCAUGGACUAUGGACUGAUUGCGAAACCCCUGUAUGAAGCUCAGAAGACGCAGCCAUUCACCUGGGGCAAGCCACAGAAAGUAGCCUUCCAAAAAUUAAAGGAAGCGCUGACAACUGCUCCAGCAUUAGGGUUACCUGAUCUGUCUAAAGAUUUUCAGCUGUUUCUUGCCGGGGUCUCUCUCUCUCUAGCUGGUCAGAGUGAUCCCGAGAAAAGUCUGAAAGUCUCUUUUCCCAGCCUGGUGCUUUAAGAAGGAGUCAGAGCUCUUAAUUUCUUCGGUCUCAAGGUUGUUCAUUGCAUCUUAUCUAUAAAAUUCUUUCUCCCUGUCCAGCCGAGAUCCGUUCGGCUGGACAGUCCAGAGGCACUCCGCCUGCCCCCAGAGCGGUGUUAUCUUUAUAUACUACAAACUACAUGUAAAAUAUGUAGUUGUUUUCCAAUACCUAUCAUCUAUAUUAGACAGUGAGUUUCUACUCUAGACCAAUCUAAAAGUGCCAACAUCACCAGACAAGAUGGAGGUAGAGAAGAAGAAGAAGAAAGGCUAGACAUGCCUAAAUCCCUCCAUCUCCUCCCCAGAAACCCCCAUACCAAAAAUCCUAAAACCUACAUUUACACUCUGUAAUUAUUUUAUUUUUACACUAUUCAAACUGCUGGUGCUUUUAUCUCCUUCUAUAAAGGUGACAGUUUGCUCCGUGGUUCGUCAUUGAACCCACUGGUGUUCUGGGCUGUGUGCCAGAGUCUCCGAGCCCCCUGGUGAGGGUCUCAGAAAACUCCAGACUCCCAGAGGGAUAUCCUAAAUUCCGACAGUUUGUACAUGAAAGGCUAUGCCUAGCACUAGGAGUCCUGACCCAACGUCUGGGAAGCUGGAAAAGGCCGGUGGGCUGCUUUUCCAAACAACUUGACAACAUAAGUGCCGGAUGGCCUCCAUGUCUGCGGGCAGUCCUAGCCACUGUGAUGCUGAUACAAGAAGCCAGGAAGCUUGCUAUGGGAAGGCACAUAGAUGUCUAUGUACCACACAUGGUAACCACUGUCUUAGAACAGAAGGGGGGCCAUUGGCUAUCUCCAAGCAGGAUGAUAAAAUUCCAGGUAAUCCUGACUGAGCAGGAUGAUGUCACAUUAAAAACAACUAACCUUUUGAAUCCAGCUUUGUUCGUAGGUACCACGACUGAAGAAGGCCCAUUAGAACAAGACUGUGUAGAGGUAAUAAGUACACCUAUUCAGCAAGAGAAGACUUGAAAGACGUCCCGCUAGAGCAGCCGGAGUGAGAGCUAUUUACAGAUGGGAGCAGCUUCGUGGAAAACGGAACCAGAUACGCUGGAUAUGCGGUAACAACAGUCAGUACAGUAGUGGAGGCAAAGGCAUUACCACCAAAUACAUCUGCCCAGAAGGCAGAACUGGUUGCUUUAACCAGGGCACUAGAAUUAAGUGAAGGGAAAAAGGUCAGUACAUGGGCUGACUCAAAAUAUGCUUUUGGAGUGGUGCAUGUACACGGAGCACUGUGGAAAGAAAGAGGAUUAUUGUCUUCUCGAGGUAUGCACAUUAAACACCAAGAUGCAGUCCUGCAAUUGAUAAAAGCAGUACAAAAACCUGAACAAGUGGCAAUUAUACACUGUAAAGCACACCAAUCAGGAAACUCCAAAAUCUGUGAAAGAAAUCAAAAGGCAGACUGGGCAGCCCGACAGGUUGCUCGAGAGGUGCAAACAACAGUGGUAUUGAUACUUUCAAAGCUCAAUGUAUCCCAAUUUAAUUUGCCUCCAAAACCAAGAUAUUCAGUAGAAGAUGAGAGACUGGCGCGUUUACUAAAUGCACAAAAGAAUUCGGAAGGAUGGCAUGUGACUGCACAAGGACAGAUAGUGGUACCCCCCUUGAUAAUGAGAGAAGUUCUACAAAUUAAACAUAAAAAAUGUCAUUGGGGUGCAGAGGCAUUGGUAAAAUUGCGAAAGCAGAGUUUAAUUUCGGUACGGAUGUUAACAAUGGCAAAACCAGUCAUGUCAAAAUGUGAUAUCUGCUUGAAAAACAACCCAGUAGCUAGGCGACAGGCACAGCUAGGAAGAAUUCAGAUAGGAAUAGAGCCAGGAGACUAUUGGCAAUUAGAUUUUGUAAAAUUACCAAGAACUCGAGGAUACAAAUACCUCUAAGUAGGGGCUGACACAUUUUCUGGAUGGCCAGAAGCCCUUCCCUGUCGCACAAACCAAGCAAAGGAAACAGUUAAGUAGUUACUACAGGAAAUUAUUCCCAAGUUCGGGGUACCCCUAGGGGUAUCAUCAGAUAGGGGGCCCCAUUUCAUAGCUACAGUAGUAAAAGAGCUAAGUAGAUUGCUGGGGAUAACUUGGGACCUCCAUACACCGUAGAGACCCCAGUCAAGUGGACAGGUAGAGAGGAUGAAUCAGACACUAAAGAGGCAAAUCAGUAAAAUAUGCCAAGAAGCCAAGCUGCAGUGGCCCAAGGCUUUGCCAAUGGCACUGUUGAAGAUUAGGAUAAAACCUAGGAGCGGGAUGUCAGUCAGUCCUUAUGAGAUAUUGUAUGGGAAACCAUCUGAAUCUCCUGAGCCUAACCCUAAUGUACACGUCACAGGAAAGCAGGAAGUGUAUAAUUAUGUUCUGUCUCUUGGGAAAACUUUAGCUCGGCUCCAGAGCAUCCUUGUGUGAAAUAGACCAAUAACUCUCGAGAAUCCAGUUCAUAACAUACAUCCAGGAGACGAGGUGUACAUUAAAAACUGGAACAAAGAACCGCUGAAAGAAAAGUGGAGUGGACCCUAUCAGGUACUGCUGACCACCUUUACAGCAGUCAAAAUAGCCGGCAUGGACCCCUGGAUUCACUAUACCCAAGUGAAGAAAGUCCAUCCUGGAUCACGGACUAUGUAAACUGUGGAACCAAGACUGAAGAUAAGAUGUGUUUAAUUACUUUGAGAAUGCUGUUAGUAAUUAUGCUAAUGUUAUGGUCAUUAAUGUCUUUGGGAUGUGGAAUGCAAAAAGAUCAACUAACCACUCUUCAUUCUAGAAUGAAGAGAGAGGCAGAAACACAAGUGAUAAAAAUUUCUAAUGCAGUUCGAGCUGCGAAUGUAAUGAUUGGAUUAGUCAGAUUUUGCCAAAAUGCAAAACACCAGUAGAAUAACUGCCUUUCUGCCAAUACCAAAGGCAGCAGGAGACCCAGUAAAUUAGAGAAUCAUAACAUCAAAACUACCUGAAAUACAAAAGUUCAAAACAAUUGCAUGCAAACAGGUACCCGAGUCGAGGCAAGUAGUCAAGGAAACUUGGGAGAAAAUAGGAACAUGGAUGAGACCUAUGAGCCAGAAAGACUGUAUUUUAAGUGAUGGCAUAUUAGGAACCCCUAUGGGACAGUCGGGAGGCAUUACACAAUGGCAAUGCUAUUUGCCACUCUAUAAAAGAUCAUAGAAAAUGUUACAGAAACCACUCUAAUAUGGAAGUGUGAGGCCAAGGAUCAGAAAGAUCAGAGAGAGCCUUGGGACAGUGCGUGGUCUGUGAGUAUACUUCAAAAAUUCCAAUAUAUGGCAAACACCCCUUGGUGUAUUAAGUGGGAAGGCUCCGAGAAUGAAACAUCCAGCAGUAACGUACACUGCCACUAGUAGCAGAACGUGGGCAGACAAAGUAAGUUGGUGGGCAUGCAAUAAAACUUAUGACUGCACUUCUGAUAAUGCAGAGAUAAAACAGAUGCCACCCCUGGCAAUAGCCCUACAGAUUGGUUGUGCUUGCAGAGGGAUCAAACAUAAACAAGACAAAAUGAAUUAUAAAGUAGUUGUAGAUUGCACCAGGAGUACAAUCCAAAGUCCAAGACAAUUUGUAUGGGCAACAAGCGAUGGUACCUGGACAACACAUCUGCCUGUAGAUGGGAAAGUAAAGGAAAUUACUUUGGGCCUCCCAAGCUUAUGUCCAAUUUGGAAAAAGUCCCCAUUUAAUGGAAAACAUGAACUUCUGCAGAUAAGAGCAAGACGAGAAGUUCUAGACAAUGAAACUUGGCAAGAACCCUCUAGUGGAGUAAGAUUUGAGUGGGCCCUAGAGUCUUUGCUUGGUCCUAUAUCAAACUAUCAGAAUAGAGAGAUGCUGUACAAACUUACAGGCCAGGUAGAUAGACUGGCAAGAGUCACCCGGGAAGGAUUUAAAGAAUUAAACGUACAAUUACAAGCCACCACAAAAAUGACUUUGUAAAAUCAAUUAGCCUUAGAUUUGUUACUCCUGAAGGAGCAUGGACUAUGUGGAUUUUUAAAAGGACGAGUUGAUCAUUGCUGCGUUCACAUCCCAAAUGUAACUGCAGAUGUAGAAUAUGACAUCAAUCAGUUGCAACAAAUAAAGUAUGAAGCACAAGAAGAGCAAAAGGAUUUGACUACAAGCUGGUUAGGAAAAAUCUUUAAAAGGUUAGGGUGGAAUGUGAGUUCAUGGAUUAAGUCUAUUACUGAGAGUGUGAUAAUCUUACUAAUUGUAUUCUUAGCAAUUUGGUUAGUUUACAUCAUCUUAAGGAGAGAGAUACAGAAGAAAACGUCCUGGAACCAGAAAAUAAUAAAAGCACUGACACGAGAUCCAGGCCCACUAUCUUCUGGUUCUCCAGUUCGUGAUAGCAUCCACGACAACGUUUACAUCAACCUUGGAUUUGAGGAACAUCAAGCAUAAAUUAAGAAGUAAAGGACUGUAUCAAGUGAAAGCAUUUACACCUAUAGUGAAGUGAAAAUGCUUUCAAAGGGGGGAGAAACCAUAGUGGGGCCCUGGAAAAAAUGUCAAGAUACACUCUGAAAUGUUAAGCUUUGCGUUGCAGCUAACUAAGUAGUAUGAUAAAUGAUAUAAUUGUUAGAUGUGAUGAUUGUUUAGUAAUUAAAAAUCAUUAUUGUAUAAUCAUAAGAAGAACCAUGAGAAACUGUAUGUUCCUAAUCUAAGGAGGCUAUGCUCGGCUGAAAUCUAUAUAUACAAUUGAACAAUACAAGUUUAAUAAUUAACAUGAAAGUUAUAUAACGGUAGAAUAUAAAAGCAUAUCCAUCCUGAACCUAUGUCGGAGUCAGAUUUGGGUUUGUACCCCUGACACCCAGAGCUCUUCAGUAAAAGCACCUGCAUAUAAUAA